ensembl:lncRNA
GCGUGAGUGUGAGAGAGAGAACAGCCCGGCAGGUCCCGAGGCGCUAGCUGGGGACGCUGCCUCGGAAAGUUCCCAGUCCCCAGCCGCAGCAGUUCCUGUGCAGUCUCCUUACGACACAAGAUAAGAAGGUCCCUUGCAGCUUCCUGGUAAUGAAUGACCCGAGAAUAACACCGCUACAACCUGCGGGAAAAGGAGAGUCGUUUGCCCGACCCAAGAUCUGCAGGAUUGAAAUGAAAUGUUUUGAGCUCUUCAAGCUGACUCAUCAGAAUCCUGAAGCGUUUUUUUAAAUGACGUGUGCCCAGAGCUUUGAGAGAAGAUUUUUUUUUAAAGAAAUGGGAGAAAAAAAUUAAAAUUGUCAAUAAGGAGUCUUUCAAACACUAGGCUCGGCCAGGAUUGAGCUGGAUGGUUCCUGGCACUUGUCAUUCCCAGCAAGGAACCAACACCAAGGACCUGGACCACGUGGCAUCUCUUAUGGGUGAAAGUGACUAGUGGUUUUUAAACAGCCAAUGUGUGCCAAGUAUUCUUACAUGGGGUUUGUUCGUUCUUUCACACUUCCGGUACAUCGCUAUUCAGAAGUAUGGUUGGAUCUUCAACUCCAUCUUAUGCCUCUGAUUUCAUCUAGCUCUCUCCACUUUGCUAUGCUAGAUUUUUCUAACGUAAGGGUUAGAAAACCAUGUAGGGUAACCAACCAUCAUAGUUUACUUGGGACUGAGAGGUCUCUGUGGACACAGGACUUUCAGUACUAAAACCAGGACAAUCCCAGCAAAACCAGGGCAGUUGCUCAUGUUACUCAAUUAUUGUAACCCCUAUAUUAACUAUCCUUGUUCUGGUUCUACUAGCCUGGUAAAACUACAGCCUAAUCCACUGGAGAAAAUCUCUCAGCUGGUUAGGCUAACACCACUAUAAACUCCUAGAUUGUCCAUAACACUACCUAAGAAUCCAAUAUUAUUUACGUCAACAACACUUUCCUGCUUUGCUAUAGUAAAGAGUUAACUUUCUUCGUCAUUGUCCUUAUGCUUUAAGUCUCUUAACAACCCACACUGCCGUCCCCUGGCUUCCUUGAAAAAACAGAAACUAACAAACUCAAAACUUACUGCCAACAGGCCUAAAGUGCCACCUCUACCACCUUCAUCACCUUUUAGUUAGAACUGAAGAAGCAUUGCUUCCUAUCUUAUCACUAAUCCCUUCAAUUGUAGUCUGAGUUAGUUUAUCCUGCCCUUCUCAACAAUACCUCCAAUUGGCCACCAAAUCUGGUUUAUUCUUGCUCUAGAAUAGUCCUGAAACCAUUCCAAUUUUAUGUACCUCCAGUGCCAACACCCGUAUCUUAACGUGACCAUUAUGGUAGCUUUAUAACCAGUCAUUUGUCCCCAAUAUGCCUACUUUCCAAUUGAUUUAUGACGGUAAACUCAAGUGAUCUUCAAAAAAUCUAAACUGAUCAUAUCCUUCUUCUUGAAUCAAAAUGAUUCAAAGACUUUUCAUCAUGCUUAACAUAAAACUUCAAAACAUUAACAUGGCCUGUAAGUUCUACAUCAUCUGGCCUAAGACUUGUUGUCUGGUUUGGUUUCUUCCUGUUUUGUUCUGUGCUUUAU